rnacentral:misc_RNA from 1 species
UCCGGUUUAACACCGGCAGUCUCUUUAGAGUCCCCAACUUAAGGCUGGUAACUAAAGACAAGGGUUGCGCUCGUUAUUGGACUUAACCAGACAUCUUACGACACGAGCUGACGACAGCCAUGCAGCACCUAUCUCCACGUCCCCGAAGGGAAACUAACAUCUCUGCUAGCGCCGUGGGAUGUUAAGGGUAGGUAAGGUUCUGCGCGUUGCUUCGAAUUAAACCACAUACUCCACCGCUUGUGCGGGCCCCCGUCAAUUCCUUUGAGUUUUAGCCUUGCGACCGUACUCCCCAGGCGGGAUACUUAAUGCGUUAGCUUCAGUACUCAGGGGGUUAACUCCCCAAACACCUAGUAUCCAUCGUUUACGGCGUGGACUAC